GCAGGCCAUUCCUGCACAAUAGAUUCCUCCUCUUCCCUGGGCUUCCUGGCUGUGGAGGCUGCAGGGGCGGGAUGCUCCAUCGUAAGGGACUGCUGGGUGCAGGCUUCCAGGAGUGAGAAGGGUCACUUAGGUGGUUUGGGAGUCUCCAGCCCUCACAGAAACCCCACCCGACUCCACACCUUGCUCGGAUUUUCCAUUUCCACUCUGGAGUUGGGUCUGCUUCAGGUAAAGAGUAGGGACUGAGGAAAAGAAUCCGAACCCAACAGAAACAGAAUGGGAAGGACAGACAAAAAGCAAUCAUACAGAAACUAAGCCAGGAUAAAGGAUGUUUGUUUGUAGAUAAAUCAUUUCGUUUGGGAGGGAAGUUCUGUACAUUCCUCUUACAAAUGAGGAAACUGAGGGAGAUGGGUGCUUCCCAGAGUACAAUCCAAAAGCCAGUCUCUCUCUCUUAUGAAGGUCUGGUUAAAAAUGCAGAUUCCCUGACCACACCUUGGCCUACAGAAUUUGAUGCUCUUGAGUGGAACCACACUGCACUUAGGGAGUUCUCCAGGAAAAAAUUCUAGAAGGCUACAUUUGAAAAUAGCACUGGUUAGAAUGGCUAUCCUGGGCUCAGCUUGGGUUUAUGCAGCAGGAAAACGUAGGGUUAGGGUUUAGUGCCCAGACAGGAGCAAGAAAGGGAAGAAAUUAGCCAUGAGAGGAUUUUUAAAGCAAGGCAUAUGCCCCUGAAAAGAUGGCAACAAGCAAAAAAUGUAAGAGAGCAGGAGAAGCAGAGACAGUGGGUAGAGAUGCCCUUUGCCAUGAGGAGGGACAUGUGGGAUGAUUAGAGCAAGCUUUCAGAGAAGAUGGCUACCUAAAGUUAGAUGUCACUCUAAACGUGGCUCCUCCUUAAUCCCCAAAGCAGUUUCUCAAAGGAGGUCCCAAGAUUUUCUGGAUGAGGAUAUUGAAGAGGGAACAGAUUACCUUUGAACCCUUGUGGCUGCUCUGGAGGGGCUCUGACUUUAAUCACUAGGCUGCCUCUCAGGGAAAAAGCUCAAGGGCUCAGACUCACUUUCAAAUCUUGGCUCUAGCACUUACUACCUAGAUGGGGGAGGGGCUCUUAUCACUUUUUGCCCUCGACUGAAUGACUGGGUCAAGGGGGAGGAGAGGCAGCCAGUGGAUUCUGCUAAGCGGAAUCAUGCAUGGGACAGAACCAGUGAUCAACUACUACUACUACUGAUAUAAACGGCUGGACUUCUAAGGGAAUUCUCUGUCUUGAGACUCACAGGAGUUCAUUUCUAAGUCUCUCUGGCACAGAGGUGGCUACAACUCACCAAGAGCAUUGCCGUGUCUAUCAGGCAUCUGCCAGGUACCCUACCCGUGUGACAUGGCUGCUGGGGUCGUGGCCAUGUGUACUGAAUACUCCAGAUACAUUCCCAAGAUUGUAUCCUGUAUGGGCUCUUUCUUUUCAUGUCACAACUGUGUGGGAGCAGGUGGACAGCGAAGUUUGAAUGGUAGUGGGCAGCUAUAUUCCUCUCAGUCUCAGUUCUUGAAUACGAGUGGACUUGGGAUGGGGGUGGGGCAGCCAGUGGACAAACAAACCUUGUGAUCAUAGAUUUUUCUCUUGGUGGCAAUAGUUUCUUGGUUUUGCUAUUGCCAAACACAGACCGGCUAAAAGUGCUGACGUCUGUUACCUCCAUGACUGUACUGUGCUGCAUUUUACAGAACCCAACAUCUGGGACUCAGUUUACCCUGGGUCUAGCAUUGUCAUUUGCUCACAUGUUCAGAGAUGGGCCCCAGAGACUCUAAGGAGAGAGAGAGAAUUUCAACCCCACGCCUGGGUUCUCAGACGUGUUUCCUAACUAUCUCUUGGUUCUUGGAAGUGGAGGGGGUCGGUGAGAGCAGAGUUAGGGCUCUACAAUGGUUUCCAGAGGAGUAAGUAAGUAGAGUGAGGUUUGAGGGAUCAGGAGAAAGGCUGACAGGCUAGGAGCAUGACUGUGGGUGGAAGCUACAGCAGCAGGUAGCUGGGUGGCACCGUGUAGGAUUGGGGGGCUGGAGUAGACAUCUGGAGCUGGGAAUCUGAUGCAAUCUCAUCUGGUCAUCUGGUUACACUCUGAUAAGGGUUACACUCCCUGCUGAUCCCAGGAUACUCCGGUGCUCUCCAUUGUGCACACAGGAAAAGCCAGGUCCUUUUGGUGGUCUGGGAAGUUCUGUCCUGGCUGAAUGGAGCUGGUUCUCUUACUUCUCCUGUGGUCAGGGCACUCUUUACUCAUUCAGCUCGAGCAACACUUUUGUGGGUGUGCGGGGCACAUUCACUGUCCUUCUGCCUGUAAGGCACUGCCCAGAGAUAGCCAUGAGAUGCCAAGACACCCUUACCUUGCCGUAUUCACAGAUAGGACUUUCUUGCUCCAAGUGCACACCACUGCCACACUUGGCACACUCCCUACUCCCCUUCUCUGGUUUAAUUGUUGUUCCUUCACAGUACUUAAUCACUGUUGACAUGCUAUGCAUUUCGCUUGCCUGUUUGUUUAGUUCCUGGUUGUCUCCAGUCCCCAGGAUAGCAUCAGCUCCAGCAGGGACAGGAUUUUCACAGCAUCUCUAGCACCGCACCUCCCUCCUAAUGUGUACUUAGCGUUUGUGGUCCCUACACAAAUAAAGAUGACAGCAGAGGCUGAAGUUCACUGCUUUCAUUACAAGUCACAUUCUCCAGUUUUGCAGUUUUGGAAAUCAAGGCUCGGAAAAGGCAAAGGUGCAGGUCAGGACAUAGACAUACACUGAGGGGUGACCUAUGAAGCCACAGGGAGCAGAUGGCCUUCUGAAAGCCAACGGAAGAGAACCCCACAGGAACUACUUCUGCUAACAGGUGGAUCUUGGACUCCACCCUCCAGAACUUUUGAGAAGACAAAUUUCUGUUGCUGCAGUCACCUGUAGCACCCUGUGGUGUGUUAACUGUGUGUAUUAAUAAUGCAGAUGCAUUGGCCCAUCCAAUUCUUGUAUGAACUACAAGGUAGGUAAAUAUUCUAAAGUCCUGGUUUACAGAUGAGGAAGCAGGCUCGAGGCGGGGAAGUAUCUUGCCUAAGAUUGCACAGUUCAUGUUUGUGUGAAACACAAAGCAGGGCAAUGCAUAGUCUAGUGGGAAGUGGGGGAUUUCCUAGAAGUGACCUAGACACUUUCACAUCUGUCCCCAUUGUUGGGCAAGUGUUAUAAGAAUCGUAAGGACUAAGGGUUGGAGUGAUCAUCCUUAUUGAAGAGAGAAUGGUUUCCAACAUUUGGGUCUUAGGGAACCUUUUAUGGCCCUUUAAAAAUUAAUGAGGACAAAAUAAACAGAGUUUUUGUUUAUAUCAGUUUAUCUUCUGAAGCUACCAUACUAGUAACGGAAGCAGAGGCAUGCGAAAACAUUUCAUUAGUUAUCCAAACAACGGAGUUACCUUUGUAACAACCCUCUAGGGUGGGUAUUAUUAAUAUCAGCAUCCUCUUUUAUAGGUGAGAAAUCAAGAUUAGUGAUGCUGAGUCGUCCCAGGUCUCAUGAAGCCAGGAUCGACUAUAGGCAGCUUGGUUCCAGGGCUCAAGCAGUGAACUACUUUUUAUGCUGCCUGGGCACUACCCUCGUUGCUUUUCCCAUUGCUAUGAUAAAGUACCCUGACCAAAGGAAGGAAAGGUUUAUUUUGGCUCAUAGUUUGAGGGCAUAGUUCAUCAUGAUGCAGAAAUCAAGGUGUCAGGACUUGAAACAGCUGGGCACACUGCCUCUGCCGUCAGGAUAAAGGAAAAUCAUGAAUACCUGCACCCAGCCAGCCUUCUCCUAGUUCUGCAAUCUAGUACCCAUGCCUUGGGAAUGGUGCUUCCCGCUUUUCCAGUGGAUUUUCUCAUCUCAGUGUACCUGAUCAAGAUAAUCUCUCAUAAGCAUGCCCAGAGGCUAACCUAAUCUAAACAACCCCCCACAGGUUUUUCGGUUGAUGGUAAGCACUGUUUACCACAGCCGUGGUGCAGCCAUCUCUUUCCUGCUAGGGAGUGGCCAUUGAACAUUCUUCUGCAGGAGCUAAGUCUCUGUAGCCUGUCUGGAACAAGGACAGGGCACAAAGAGUUAACCUUUCUCAAGAUAAAACUUGCAGCUGAGAGAAGAUUUCUUUCCCUAAAGGCACACCAGGCAUCCCACACCCAGGCAAGGGUGAGAAGUCUGCUCUUACAGCACAAGCCUUCCACGAGUUAUUUCUUGAAGUGAUGUGGCACCCUUGCCGCAGCCCAGAGCCUCUGGAUGGAGGCUCCUUUGCAGAGCCUGUGAUUACCCAGAAAGACCAGGAAGAAAUGAGUUCUUUGAAGAGUCUGAGACUUCCAGCAUUUAGAAGAGAGAAUGACCACUAACAGGGGGCCCCAAGCUUAUGUGCUCUGAGAUAUCAAGUAGGCUGGGAGAGAGGUUUUCUUUCUCCUACACAGUGAGUAUGUGUCCGUGUGUUUGUCCAGUUUUCAGUUCCAGAAAAAGCACAUUGUGUCUACACUGAUCUCAUGACCACCCCCAUUUGUGUAUCUUGACAAAAAACCCCUAUAGUGCCGAAAAGUACACUUCCCCCCAGAGUCUCAAGCAGACUGUUGCCGUGUAGCAAUUCUCUCUGAGGUUAAGACUUUCCAUUUUGGAGAGAAACUUCUUAAGACAGCAGGUUCUAAGGGGAAGUGACAUUCUCCACAAAAGCUUGUUUAAGCUUAAUAUCUGAAGCAAACCACUCAAAAUAGUUUCAGCAAGUCCCUGAAGAUGAUCAGAUUCACAAGAACUCUCCCACAAGAGCAUUUAAAUGGUAAAGACCGUUGAGAGUCAGCAAAAAAGAUUCUCAGACAAGACCCAGAGAGGCCUGGAGGAAGCAGAGACCAGCCAAACUUCCCAGAAGAACCAAGACCAGCAAAGCUGCCUGGAAGAGGAUCAGACCAACCUGAGCCACCUGGAAAGGAUACGUUCCAACCUGUUGAGCUGCUGCAGGCUACGCCGCACACUCUUCCAGCUCUGUGAAUUGUCACCCACAUUGGCUGGGCUUUGGUGAUGUGGCUGUCUUUGAAUCCUAUCUGUUCCUAUAAUCAGUCCCUCAGUUAUAUUCCUAUAAAUAACCCCAAUAAAACUCGU